CUCGUUUUCUCGUGCCUACUUUUGUCAAAGGCCCGCAGCAAAAACCGACAACUGCGGUGUCCGAACACCCUACUGCUUCUCCACCUCACUCCCUUGCCGAUGGCCCGUAGGCGGAGCGAGAUCGAUGGUUGCGACGGCAUUCCCGACGAGGUAUCUCGUAGCGAUUUCCCUGAAGAUUUCGUUUUCGGCGUCGCCACCUCCGCUUACCAGGUUGAAGGAGCAAGAAGAGAGGAUGGAAAAGGUGAUAGUAUUUGGGAUAUUUUCUCAGAAGAAAAAGGGAAUAUAAAGGAUGGGAGUAAUGGAGAAAUUGCAGUGGAUCAGUACCAUCGCUAUAAGGAAGAUGUGGAGCUUAUGGCCAAGUUAGGUUUUGGUGCUUAUCGAUUUUCCAUAUCUUGGUCUCGUAUAUUCCCUGAUGGAUUAGGAACUAAGAUCAGCGAGAAUGGGGUUGCUUAUUAUAACAAUUUGAUCAAUUUCCUACUAGAAAAAGGUAUACAGCCUUAUGUGACACUAUAUCAUUGGGAUCUUCCAUAUUUUCUUCAUGAGUCCAUAGGAGGAUGGCUAUCAGAGAAGAUUGUACACUAUUUUUCAUUAUAUGCCGAAGCUUGUUUUGCAAAGUUUGGAGACAGAGUGAAGCACUGGAUUACAAUCAAUGAACCUCUUCAAACAGCUGUAAAUGGAUAUGGUUGUGGAAUCUUUGCUCCUGGAAGACGUGAAAAUUCAUCUGUGGAACCUUAUCUGGCUGCUCACCACCAAAUUUUGGCUCAUGCAGCUGCUGUUUCUGUUUAUAGGAAGAAAUUUAAGGCUGCACAAGGUGGUGAAAUAGGCAUUGCAGUUGAUUGUGAAUGGGCAGAAGCAUAUUCUGAUAAGUUGGAAGAUAAAAUUGCUGCUGAUAGGCGGUUGGAUUUCCAACUUGGAUGGUUUUUGGAUCCAAUAUAUUAUGGAGACUACCCCUUGGUUAUGCGUGAGAGGCUAGGAGAUCGGCUUCCCAAAUUUUCAGAGGCAGAAAAGGAGUUAUUGCAGAAUGCAAUUGACUUCGUUGGUCUGAACCAUUAUACAACCAGAUUCAUUGCUCAUGUAGAAAACCCAGGAGAUAUCCAUUUCUAUCAAGCACAACAAAUGGAGAGGAUAGAGAAAUGGCAAUGCGGGGAGGCGAUUGGUGAAAGGGCUGCAUCAGACUGGCUUUAUGUAGUUCCUUGGGGCAUCCGGAAGGUCCUUAACUACAUAGCAAUGCAUUACCACAAUCCUCCAAUUUAUGUUACUGAGAAUGGCAUGGAUCAAGAAGAAACCGAAACAGCAAUUCUUGAGGAGGUCCUAGAUGAUAAACUGAGAGUUGAAUACUUUAAGAGUUACCUUGCAGCUGUUGCACAAGCAAUCAGGGAUGGAGCCGAUGUACGUGGAUACUUUGCAUGGUCAUUCUUGGACAAUUUUGAGUGGGCCCAAGGAUAUACUAAAAGGUUUGGGCUGGUUUAUGUGGACUAUAAAAAUGGUCUUGCUAGGUAUCCAAAAUCAUCAGCCCUAUGGUUUUCACACUUCUUGAAGUCUAGUGAGGAAGAUGUUGGCAAGCAGGUCAAUCAAGCCUGAUAUGAAGCUAAGAUAGAUGGUGGCUUGUGCUGCUAAUUUCUGUGCAUUUGGUGGUCAUUCUAAAGCAUCCUUGGAAACUUAGAAAUGAGGGCAUGGUAGAAGGCUUAGGAGCUAUUCUGAGUUUAGAUGCACUACACUCCUCCAAUGGGUUCUCAAAAGAAUACUUUUUCUCUGCUAUAUUACCCUUUAUUUUUCCUGAAUUCUAACAAGGUCUUGGUGUGAUCGACAGCCGCAAAUGUUCGGACUCCAAUCUGCCUCAUCUUGCAGUGACAUCCAAAGCGACGUGGUUCGUUGCAAUCCAUAACACAAUCCACUACUUCCUCACCUCAAAUCGUCUACCCUCGUCUUUCUUCCCAUUUAUUUGGGCGAGCGCAAUAUCAAUUAAUAUAGAUGAGAAGAUUACUAUAUAUAGUUCUUUUUGUUAUUUAUAAUUUUAUUUUUUUAACUUUUUUUAAUAUUUCUAAAUUAUCCCUUUAUAAAUAUAUAUAUAUAUAUAUAUAUAUAUAUAUAUAUAUAUAUAUAUAUAUAUAUUCUUCUUCCUUCUCUUUUUCUUUCUCCUUGAUAGUGAGCGUUGAUGGUAUGGGUAAAGAGUGAGAUGAACUAAAAAUGAUAAUAUUAUGAUUAUAAAUAAUAAAAUAAAUAAUUUUAUUAUUUUGAAGGGAUUAUCAAUAGUAUGGGAUUGUAAAUUGUAAGAUUCUAUAAAUUAUAGUCACAUUUUUUUUUU